rnacentral:rRNA from 1 species
AGAGUUUGAUCCUGGCUCAGGACGAACGCUGGCGGCGUGCUUAACACAUGCAAGUCGAGCGGUAAGGCCCUUCGGGGUACACGAGCGGCGAACGGGUGAGUAACACGUGGGUGAUCUGCCCUGCACUUCGGGAUAAGCCUGGGAAACUGGGUCUAAUACCGGAUAUGACCAAAGGCUGCAUGGCUUUUGGUGGAAAGGUUUACUGGUGCAGGAUGGGCCCGCGGCCUAUCAGCUUGUUGGUGGGGUAAUGGCCUACCAAGGCGACGACGGGUAGCCGACCUGAGAGGGUGACCGGCCACACUGGGACUGAGACACGGCCCAGACUCCUACGGGAGGCAGCAGUGGGGAAUAUUGCACAAUGGGCGAAAGCCUGAUGCAGCGACGCCGCGUGAGGGAUGAAGGCCUUCGGGUUGUAAACCUCUUUCAGCAGGGACGAAGCGAAAGUGACGGUACCUGCAGAAGAAGCACCGGCUAACUACGUGCCAGCAGCCGCGGUAAUACGUAGGGUGCGAGCGUUGUCCGGAAUUACUGGGCGUAAAGAGUUCGUAGGCGGUUUGUCACGUCGUCUGUGAAAACCCACCGCUCAACGGUGGGCCUGCAGGCGAUACGGGCAGACUUGAGUACUGCAGGGGAGACUGGAAUUCCUGGUGUAGCGGUGAAAUGCGCAGAUAUCAGGAGGAACACCGGUGGCGAAGGCGGGUCUCUGGGCAGUAACUGACGCUGAGGAACGAAAGCGUGGGUAGCAAACAGGAUUAGAUACCCUGGUAGUCCACGCCGUAAACGGUGGGCGCUAGAUGUGGGUCCCUUCCACGGGAUCUGUGUCGUAGCUAACGCAUUAAGCGCCCCGCCUGGGGAGUACGGCCGCAAGCUAAAACUCAAAGGAAUUGACGG